rnacentral:rRNA from 1 species
CAAUGAGGGCGAUGGUGGGGUGCGUAUCUGCAGUCCAGCGAUAGAAGGGAGACGCUCCGGAUGUUAGCGGCGGAGGGUGAGUCCGUGGGUAACCUGCCUGUAAGACUGGGAUAACUCCGGGUAACCGGAGCUAAUACCGGAUAGUUCCUUGAACCGCAUGGUUCAAGGAUGAAAGACGGUUUCGGCUGUCACUUACAGAUGGACCCGCGGCGCAUUAGCUAGUUGGUGGGGUAAUGGCUCACCAAGGCGACGAUGCGUAGCCGACCUGAGAGGGUGAUCGGCCACACUGGGACUGAGACACGGCCCAGACUCCUACGGGAGGCAGCAGUAGGGAAUCUUCCGCAAUGGACGAAAGUCUGACGGAGCAACGCCGCGUGAGUGAUGAAGGUUUUCGGAUCGUAAAGCUCUGUUGUUAGGGAAGAACAAGUGCGAGAGUAACUGCUCGCACCUUGACGGUACCUAACCAGAAAGCCACGGCUAACUACGUGCCAGCAGCCGCGGUAAUACGUAGGUGGCAAGCGUUGUCCGGAAUUAUUGGGCGUAAAGGGCUCGCAGGCGGUUUCUUAAGUCUGAUGUGAAAGCCCCCGGCUCAACCGGGGAGGGUCAUUUGGAAACUGGGAAACUUGAGUGCAGAAGAGGAGAGUGGAAUUCCACGUGUAGCGGUGAAAUGCGUAGAGAUGUGGAGGGAACACCAGUGGCGAAGGCGACUCUCUGGUCUGUAACUGACGCUGAGGAGCGAAAAGCGUGGGGAGCGAACAGGAUUAGAUACCCCUGGUAGUCCCACGCCGUAAACGAUGAGUGCUAAGUGUUAGGGGGUUUUCCGCCCCUUUAGUGCUGCAGCUAACGCAUUUAAGCACUCCGCCUGGGGGAAGUAC